UUAAGCGACUAAGCGUACACGGUGGAUGCCCUGGCAGUCAGAGGCGAUGAAGGACGUGCUAAUCUGCGAAAAGCGUCGGUAAGGUGAUAUGAACCGUUAUAACCGGCGAUGUCCGAAUGGGGAAACCCAGUGUGAUUCGUCACACUAUCGUUAACUGAAUACAUAGGUUAACGAGGCGAACCGGGGGAACUGAAACAUCUAAGUACCCCGAGGAAAAGAAAUCAACCGAGAUUCCCCCAGUAGCGGCGAGCGAACGGGGAGCAGCCCAGAGUCUGAAUCAGCUUGUGUGUUAGUGGAACGGUCUGGAAAGUCCGACGGUACAGGGUGAUAGUCCCGUACACCAAAAUGCACAGGUUGUGAACUCGAAGAGUAGGGCGGGACACGUGGUAUCCUGUCUGAAUAUGGGGGGACCAUCCUCCAAGGCUAAAUACUCCUGACUGACCGAUAGUGAACCAGUACCGUGAGGGAAAGGCGAAAAGAACCCCGGCGAGGGGAGUGAAAAAGAACCUGAAACCGUGUACGUACAAGCAGUGGGAGCACCUUCGGGUGUGACUGCGUACCUUUUGUAUAAUGGGUCAGCGACUUAUAUUCUGUAGCAAGGUUAACCGUAUAGGGGAGCCGCAGGGAAACCGAGUCUUAACUGGGCGUUAAGUUGCAGGGUAUAGACCCGAAACCCGGUGAUCUAGCCAUGGGCAGGUUGAAGGUUGGGUAACACUAACUGGAGGACCGAACCGACUAAUGUUGAAAAAUUAGCGGAUGACUUGUGGCUGGGGGUGAAAGGCCAAUCAAACCGGGAGAUAGCUGGUUCUCCCCGAAAGCUAUUUAGGUAGCGCCUCGUGAAUUCAUCUUCGGGGGUAGAGCACUGUUUCGGCUAGGGGGUCAUCCCGACUUACCAACCCGAUGCAAACUACGAAUACCGAAGAAUGUUAUCACGGGAGACACACGGCGGGUGCUAACGUCCGUCGUGAAGAGGGAAACAACCCAGACCGCCAGCUAAGGUCCCAAAGUCAUGGUUAAGUGGGAAACGAUGUGGGAAGGCACAGACAGCCAGGAUGUUGGCUUAGAAGCAGCCAUCAUUUAAAGAAAGCGUAAUAGCUCACUGGUCGAGUCGGCCUGCGCGGAAGAUGUAACGGGGCUAAACCAUGCACCGAAGCUGCGGCAGCGACACUAUGUGUUGUUGGGUAGGGGAGCGUUCUGUAAGCCUGCGAAGGUGACCUGUGAGGGUUGCUGGAGGUAUCAGAAGUGCGAAUGCUGACAUAAGUAACGAUAAAGCGGGUGAAAAGCCCGCUCGCCGGAAGACCAAGGGUUCCUGUCCAACGUUAAUCGGGGCAGGGUGAGUCGACCCCUAAGGCGAGGCCGAAAGGCGUAGUCGAUGGGAAACAGGUUAAUAUUCCUGUACUUGGUGUUACUGCGAAGGGGGGACGGAGAAGGCUAUGUUAGCCGGGCGACGGUUGUCCCGGUUUAAGCAUGUAGGCUGGUUGUCCAGGCAAAUCCGGAUAAUCAAGGCUGAGGUGUGAUGACGAGGCACUACGGUGCUGAAGUAACAAAUGCCCUGCUUCCAGGAAAAGCCUCUAAGCAUCAGGUAACAUCAAAUCGUACCCCAAACCGACACAGGUGGUCAGGUAGAGAAUACCAAGGCGCUUGAGAGAACUCGGGUGAAGGAACUAGGCAAAAUGGUGCCGUAACUUCGGGAGAAGGCACGCUGGUGUGUAGGUGAAGUCCCUGCGGAUGGAGCUGAGACCAGUCGAAGAUACCAGCUGGCUGCAACUGUUUAUUAAAAACACAGCACUGUGCAAACACGAAAGUGGACGUAUACGGUGUGACGCCUGCCCGGUGCCGGAAGGUUAAUUGAUGGGGUUAUCCGUAAGGAGAAGCUCUUGAUCGAAGCCCCGGUAAACGGCGGCCGUAACUAUAACGGUCCUAAGGUAGCGAAAUUCCUUGUCGGGUAAGUUCCGACCUGCACGAAUGGCGUAAUGAUGGCCAGGCUGUCUCCACCCGAGACUCAGUGAAAUUGAACUCGCUGUGAAGAUGCAGUGUACCCGCGGCAAGACGGAAAGACCCCGUGAACCUUUACUAUAGCUUGACACUGAACAUUGAGCCUUGAUGUGUAGGAUAGGUGGGAGGCUUUGAAGCGUGGACGCCAGUCUGCGUGGAGCCAACCUUGAAAUACCACCCUUUAAUGUUUGAUGUUCUAACGUUGGCCCCUGACCGGGGUUGCGGACAGUGUCUGGUGGGUAGUUUGACUGGGGCGGUCUCCUCCUAAAGCGUAACGGAGGAGCACGAAGGUUAGCUAAUCCUGGUCGGACAUCAGGAGGUUAGUGCAAUGGCAUAAGCUAGCUUGACUGCGAGCGUGACGGCGCGAGCAGGUGCGAAAGCAGGUCAUAGUGAUCCGGUGGUUCUGAAUGGAAGGGCCAUCGCUCAACGGAUAAAAGGUACUCCGGGGAUAACAGGCUGAUACCGCCCAAGAGUUCAUAUCGACGGCGGUGUUUGGCACCUCGAUGUCGGCUCAUCACAUCCUGGGGCUGAAGUAGGUCCCAAGGGUAUGGCUGUUCGCCAUUUAAAGUGGUACGCGAGCUGGGUUUAGAACGUCGUGAGACAGUUCGGUCCCUAUCUGCCGUGGGCGCUGGAGAAUUGAGGGGGGCUGCUCCUAGUACGAGAGGACCGGAGUGGACGCAUCACUGGUGUUCGGGUUGUCAUGCCAAUGGCACUGCCCGGUAGCUAAAUGCGGAAGAGAUAAGUGCUGAAAGCAUCUAAGCACGAAACUUGCCCCGAGAUGAGUUCUCCCUGAGACUUUAAGUCUCCUGAAGGAACGUUGAAGACGACGACGUUGAUAGGCCGGGUGUGUAAGCGCAGCGAUGCGUUGAGCUAACCGGUACUAAUGAACCGUGAGGCUUAACCUU
rnacentral:rRNA from 1 species